GCCCCGCGGGCGGGAGGGCGGGGGGGACGGGGCUGCGCGGUGCCGCGGGUGCGGCUGUUGCUGGUGGCCGGCCCUGGAGGAGCUUCGCCUUCCCCCCGGGAUUACGUCUCUUUUGUCCUUUAUUUUGUUUUUCCUUUCUCCCCACCACCCCCCUUUUCUUUUUUUUUUUUUUUUCCUUUUUUUUCCUCCUUUUUUCAUUAUUGCGUUUUUCCCUUUCUCAGCUUGCCCGUGCUAGUCGCCUCCUUGGAAAGCUUUUAGCCGGUGGCACUGACGUCCCUAGGGGAAGGCGCCCGUCCCCGCAGCGCUGGCAGAGAGGUGGCUGCACUUUGUGUUCCAUCAGUCAGAAACCUGCAUUUCUGCAGUGUUGCCACCUACCAGUGAAUUGUAUAAAUUACUCCCAGCACACGAAGCUGAAAUUGCCAUGACUUACUCCAGCCUUCAGCUUGUUGAAAAGGCCCUGUGGUCCAUCUCAGCAGUGUCCAGCUGAAGGGUAUCAUGUCCAAAGUAUUUGGAUUUAGGAAUCACCUGUACAAUCCUGGUGCUGCGUCUGUGGGAUGGUUCAUGUAAGCAUCAGAACAGGAGAUCAGCAAAGAACACCACCGUGCAACUUAUAAUAGCGUCAACGGAGCCUCUGUUCUUACCUCUCUUUUAGGCUGUAUCUCCUCUGAGGCACAGGGGACUGAUGUAUUUGUACAAAAGGGCACAGAGGUGCCCAGCUACGGAUGCAAACGAUGUGCUUCUACGCUGUGCAUUGUUAAAUAAUAGCAAUCGUGCAUGGUAUGUAUGGUAGGGCGCAAUUUUCUGGAUGAGUAUUAUAAUUGCCACUCUUUCUGAUAUUUUUGUGUAAGUGAAAAUGUUUACUCGAAGCCUCGGUCUGAUUCUAAUUCUGUUCAUUGCAUUCUGCCUUCCGAAUCCCUUUUACAAUUUCAAUGGCAUGUAGUGUGUGUGGGUGUUGUUUUUUGGGCUUUUGGGUUGUUUUUUUUUUAAAUUGCUUGAGGCUUGUUGAGGUGAAGCUGUUGCAUUCUCUGCCUUCGGCCCUGCGGGCUGUGCCUGACUGGCUGUUGUGCUUCCCCCAGCGCUAUUUUCCAGUCAUGAAGCUGAAAACAUGCAAAUCAUAAGAAGCCAUAGCUGGAUCUAAAUUUAGCACUGCUGUGGAUUAACACUAGGACUGGAUCAAUUAAAUGUUCAGUCUUAGCUAAAUAGAAAAUAAAAUAUAUCUCAUUACAAAUGGAUCUUGUUUCACUUAACAGCCAAAUCCUCUGUCUACGUAAUGUAUAAACUAGACAGAGCUCUCUGAGAACUCAUCAUUCCCAGCCCGCAGCCACCUUGUUUUACGUAAACACCCACAUUAGUUUAUAAAAGUUCUAAAAAUAGAGUUGAAAUUUAUCAAAAAGUGGAUAAACUGGGACUAUAUGUCUAUUUGCAGUGUUGCUGUUGUGUGGAUCUAUUCAUCUCUGUUACAGUGACACUGUUAAAAGAAUAUGAAUGUAGGCAUUGAGCAGUCGAUAUUGAUUCCACCUCUACCCGUGGACAUUUGGAAAUGUUCGUUUUUAAAGGGGAGAUACUCAAUAACGGCUGGCGGGAGUCAGAACAGCAGGUUCCCUGAGGACCCUGGGAUAACUGUCCCACUCAUGCAAGAUCUGCUUUAUCCCUUCUGCAAAGACAAGCUGAAAGGAUACCCGCUAAUAUGGUCUGCAUUUUAAAGGACAGGACAUUCUCAUAUUCCUUAUGUCUUUUGUCAAUACAGAAAGCAAACAGCUUAGCAAGAAGCAGUGUAUUUUGAACAAUGACAUUUUCUUAGCAGAUACUGGCUGGGUUACACCAUCUCGGGUAAAGAGAUCUGAUUAAUCUUGUUUGAGGUUAACCAGGUGAUACAGAACACUGGCUCCGUGUUCUGUUCAAAUUGCAGUCUAUUUUGUUUCCCCUCCCAAAGGCCGUAUUUGUUAACCCAGGUAUGCAGAGGGACAUUAAACAAUCAAAUAUGUUUGUUAAAUCUGGACGUGGGCACCAUCUUUAUCGUAUUAUCUGCAUAUAACACAGUCGACACAGUCCUUUUGAUGACUUCUGAAUCCAUGUUAAUGAAACUCUCUCUAAAUGCCUAAAUGGUAUUAGUCAGAUGUUGAUCUAGGAAGUCUCCGUGGCUCACAAAAUCAAUCCCUUUUACAACUCCUACAGGUGAGUCCUGUCAGGAGCACAACAGUGAGAAAGCUGAAGAUUACAGAGGAGUAUAGAAGUUUUUGCACCACCUAAAAAUUUCAAAUUUUUGAAAAUAAGCAUUUCCUUUGAAGUGGAGAUAAAAUGUCAGUCUUUCCUAUUUCAUGAUGGGCAGAAAAGUUUAAACAAAACCAUUUAUUGGAAGAACCUGAUCUCCAUGCUGGGUGGAACCAGCAGAGGUUUAAUUAGACUUUAUUAGUGAGAAAUAAAAACACUAGCAAAAUAUAAAAUUUGUCAGUGGAAAUGUUUUCAUUUUCUUAAAAAUAUGUUAGGGUGGUAGUUUGUUUUUAUCACUUUCAGUAUUGCAGUAUAGGCUUUUCUGUGAAAAGCAGAAAGGUAAUGAAUGUCUGUCAGAAGUGGUAAAGGAUGCACAGUAAUGGAGAGGAGAGAAAGUAAUAUCUGCGCAAAUCUACUUAUAAGGCAGCCUUAUAGCCUUUCUACUUAUCAUAUUGACAAAAAAAUCCCAGAGUUCGUAAAGUUAAGCUCUCUGGAGUUAGAAAAGGCCAGAAUGAAAGUUUCCUUUGCAAUAUUAGGAAUCGCAUAUUUAUCCAGUGGCACCCUGAUCUACUCCCAGAGUGAAGGCUGGGAGAUAAAUGAGGGACAGGGUGAUAUUUGUCUGGCUUCAUCAAACUGGGGAAAUUCCCUUCGGGCUGGUUAAGGAGUACACUGAAGAGGUCAGACCAUAGCCAGGAUUGGACUGAAGGAGCAGACUGUUUUGUAGGUAGCCUGGGAGAGAGAUGUAGCCAAGUAUCUUGACAGAUUAGUCAUUCCCUUAAUACCAAGUGUUGCAAAAUAAUGUCUUAAUCCUCCAAGUGCAUUGGUUGUAGGCAGGUACAUUGUUCCCUUAGAACAUUUUUCUCAUCAGCGAUUAGUUCAGCAUUCAAAGAGGUCUUCAGAGCAAAGCAAGUCAUAGCUGGUUUUCGGUGAAUCAUUCCACGUGGAAAAUAACAGUCCAAACUUCUAAAAUAUGUGAAUAGAACGAUAAUGUCACUUCUUGUAUUUAAAUGUAUAUUAAACAGGUAGAAGGCCACGGAAAUUAGGAGAGACAUGCUCUGCUGUUAUUCCAGCGUUUGACUUACUCAGAGCAGUUACUGUCACAGCAGACAACAGUGACAGGUAAUUCUUCAUUAAAGAAACAUUUUCUGGGAUGUUUACGGUGCUAGGAAACGGCAGUGCAGGCCUGUACAUUACCAUGGGUUCUACUUAGAAGUCUAUGAGGCUGCAUAUAACUCAUUGACUAUGUUUUGGCAAGCUCUAUUUUAAAUAGAUGGUAGUUGGUUCCACACUAUGUCACAGCCUUCAGUUAGGAGCUGUGAUGAGACCUCUACAUCAAUGUACUCAGUGUUUUUCUGCUUGCAAGAUGAUGCUCCUCAAGGAUUGCUUAAACGUCAUUGUAAAAUGAGAGUGAGAAGCCUUAAUUAACAAAAGUACCAACAAAAAUUUAAAAUUUCUUCACUGACCAUAAAUACUAAAAUGUACCAAAUAGAUAAUUAAAAUAAAAAAAAAGGAAAUUGGGCCAGUUCUUAAAGGAUGGGGUAGAUUAAUCAAUCAGAGGUGUCCAAAUAGAGAGUUGAAUUUGUCUGUGAACAGAGUCUUGUCUCCAAGUUUGGUAAAGAUCUAGAAAUGCUGGCAAGCUGCGGAGCCACCCAAGGAUGUUGGUCAGCUCAUUUGGAACCUCAAAAGACACCACAAAUCCUGACUCUUACUAUCCCCAAGCUAGGAUGAAAGACAGCAAUAAAGUCCUGGGAAGAGGGUGAUCUUCUAGCAUGCGCCUAGAGAAACAGGGAGGCAGAACAGGAACGUGUCUCCCCAGUUCACACAAGUGGCCAAAUGUUGCCUGAGUCCAACUGUGGAUGCUUCCUUCGCUUUUCUGAGGUGCCACCUUGCAGAUCAGCAUUUAUCUCCUGGCUUGUGGUUUCAUUUUAGAGAGGAACAGCUACUGCUCAUCAGGUGCGUUCUCUGUGAUGUCAGCUGUGAUUUUAGCUGAUCCUUUUAGUAAGCUUUUCUUAACACCAAACUCUUUUAAAAAUGAAACUGACUGUGUGGCACUUUCUAAACAAUCAGUACUUUUUCUGAUAUGUCUUGCUCUGAGGUGUGACAUGAGAGCUGCAGUUGAAGUUCUGAAAUGCUGAACUUGUUUUACAGCUAACAUAAAACUAGUGUUUAGUUGCUGUGGAUUUUUAUUUUUUUUUUAAACCAAGUUGUUUACUUAAUCUCUUUGUUUUAAAUAAGUUCAGUUUUUUGGUAGCUUUCCAACAAAAACUGUUAUUUGAAGACUGAGGCAACAUUCCUGGCAAGUCUGGAACUUAGAAAAAAAUCAGGGGACAAGAUGGCUUAGAUUAACUCUCUGGGAUAUACUCGAACGUAUCAGGAAUCAUAGGAAGCACAGGUAAAUUACAAGGAGGAAUGGAAAGAAGAACAAAAAUUAUCUUGAGGAAAUUACUCCCUGCUGUGUACUAUACCAAUAUCCACUUAAUAACUAAUGCCCGCUGUAUUGAUUACCUUCCGCUUGCUUUGGCUACAGGAGAAGCGAGGGCAAUUUCUUCCAUGUAUUAUGGCAUUAUUCCUCCUUUGCAUAGUAUAUUUCCUUUAUUUCAGACAAAUACUCCAUAUACAGUUAAGAGAGAUUAAUUUCACAUCUGUGGACAAGCCUCAAGAGUGCACUGCAGGAGUAACAGGAGCUGUUAGUUCUAAAAAGAGAUUUCAUUUUAAACUAUCAUACAUGCCUAAAGGCCAAAUUAGAGCGAUUGUACAAGCACAUUAAGUUAUGGAAGAAAGAAUAGCCACUAAAAACUCCCAGGACUCCAGCCUCUAAAUUGGACAGAGGUAGAUUUUCCAGCAUUGUUCAAUUAAGGGUCUGUUCGAAGACACUCAGAUCAAACUACCAUUAUUUUCUUAUUCUCUCCACAUCACUCAAGAAAUAGCCCAAGUUUAUGCGAGUCACUGUGUUUACUCUGAUGGGAAAGAAGAUCAGGCAACGAAAAAAAUCACAAGAGAUGCUUGAGUUUGAAGUGCCAAAGCUCCUGUGAUGACUCCAAGGCUGGAGCAAUGAUGGGACUCAACAGCAGAGAGGGUCCCCGAUGCUGCUGGUGACUUUUUGCCCCCCGGUUUUGUGGAAGCUGCUCUAAUAGUAGCAAACUAUUGUGGUUAGGGGAUUUAUGCACUUUUCUAUUAACCUCAGCUGAAGGGGGAAUGUGCGCAGUGAAUAUGAGGGUGAUACAUGUCUUGAUACACGUAGAGAAAAUGACAGUGUUUACUGAGAAAUUCAGAGCUUGUUUGUAUGGAGAGAAUAGCAAGUGAAACAAAGACGAACAUGCUUAAUCUCCCUGGUUCCUAACGUGCUUCAUGUUUAAGUGCCAGCUCUCAGGGGUGAAUUAAGAUGUAUUUGUAAUCAGACCUGUAACCUCUCAACUAUUUUUAAAUGUGUGUUUCAAAAUAUGGGAAAAAAAAGAGUGUAGGUGUGCAGAAAAUACUGUGUAAAUUGAAUAUUAACUUUGUUAUCAUUGUGUUUAAUAAGUAAGUGCUUUUUUAUAUUACUGUCAUUAAUGACUAAUGUUGACAUAGCAUUUGGCAGCAGUUUCUUAGUACCAUACUUCUGUUGCUGCUGGUAAGUGGUAAGAACAUGGUUUCAGUCACUACUUUGCCUAGCUGACUUCAUUAAUGGCCUGCAACGUAAAGGCCUGAAAUGUUAAAAAAUAUGUUCAUCAUAUCUGGUUUUCUUGACUUCCCUUUAUAUACAGAAUGCAUCUUAAUUGUAUUUUCCUUACAUAUUUAAUAGGGAAGGGGUGGACAUUUGGAACUGGGUGCAGAAUCGACAUGUGAAAAGCCGCUUGAGACAAGAGGAUAUUUUUGCAUUGAGAGUUUCUAUGUAGGUGGUUUGCAAGUAACUGGAGAGUCAAGAAGGAUUGUGGUGGUUUCCUCUGCUGUAGUUACUGCUUCUUGGGGGGUAUUACACAACUACUCUGUAUGCAUCAUACAGGCCUGCUGCUUUGAAUGUUUUUUACUAAAUCUUCUGUCUGCCCCAUAUUCUUUA